CUAACGUUUGGCUGUAUGUUCUAUUUCAAGGACUUUAAUCAAAGCAGUACUAAACAACCAAUCCUUAAAGGAAACACAGCUGUUUCCCUGUGUGCACAAGCCAUACUCAUUUUCACAUAGUCACAUCUUGGUGCCUGAGACAGUUGCAAGUUUUCUGGUACUGGGAGAGGCUGCUGAAGUGAACUCUGCCAUAUUAACGUGCCGACUAUACGGAUUUACGCCUGAGCCGAUGUAAUGGAGUGAUUCAGACAGGCGAGCACUGAUCUGUAGCUUGUUGGGCCUGUCGCCACUGGUCUGAGUGCUCUUUGCGGAGUCGCUGAUGGCAAAUAAGCCACAUUGGUGCAUGAUGAAGAAUCGUGAUGCUGGAAGGUGGUAGGGCUUCCCACCGGGCAGCGAGUGUUGAGGUGAGUCGAGCUGAACAGGGCUAAUGCCACUGCCUGCUGCCCAGCAGUGAGGCCUCUCGGUGGGGUACAACUCUACGGUCAAGCAUGACUGGGGAAGAGACGGGCCAUAACAUGCAUGCCUAACAAACGUGUAAACGUGCUGGAGUACUUGUGCACACACAAACACAGCACGCGCCGAUCCUUAAGAGCUUCCUAUUGCCUCGCUGUUGUUUCUGCGAUUGAUGCUUUGUUAAUCAAGACAAUACAGGCUUUAGUUUUUAAGGGUAACUUGACCGUAACCAACAUUUGUGAGAAAAUAUACAUUUUAAAGCUCUUUAAGUUGGAUUAAAAUUUUACAUUUUU